rnacentral:tRNA from 1 species
UCUUAGAUAACUAGGACAGUGUCAGACUUUUAAUCUGAAAACGGCAUUCUUGUUGAAGUGCCUCUAAGAA